AUUGAACGCUGGCGGCAGGCUUAACACAUGCAAGUCGAGCGGGGAAGGUUGCUUCGGUAACUGACCUAGCGGCGGACGGGUGAGUAAUGCUUAGGAAUCUGCCUAUUAGUGGGGGACAACAUCUCGAAAGGGAUGCUAAUACCGCAUACGUCCUACGGGAGAAAGCAGGGGACCUUCGGGCCUUGCGCUAAUAGAUGAGCCUAAGUCGGAUUAGCUAGUUGGUAGGGUAAAGGCCUACCAAGGCGACGAUCUGUAGCGGGUCUGAGAGGAUGAUCCGCCACACUGGGACUGAGACACGGCCCAGACUCCUACGGGAGGCAGCAGUGGGGAAUAUUGGACAAUGGGGGGAACCCUGAUCCAGCCAUGCCGCGUGUGUGAAGAAGGCCUUUUGGUUGUAAAGCACUUUAAGCGAGGAGGAGGCUACUGGUAUUAAUACUACCGGAUAGUGGACGUUACUCGCAGAAUAAGCACCGGCUAACUCUGUGCCAGCCGCCGCGGUAAGAC
rnacentral:rRNA from 1 species